rnacentral:piRNA from 1 species
UGUAAAAAUUACCUAACUGCG